GAGGUUGCCAAGUUUGGGCAUUACGUUGUUGUCAACUGGACUGUAUUUGAAGGAGAGGGCAACGGGGCGAAGCUAGUCGCCCGUGGACAAGGAAGCACCAUAUGCGCCGGUAGCUGGAUAUCUACUUACGUCAUAGUGUUUGUGGAUGGCAGGUUCAAAGGAUCCACCCUUCAAGUGAUGGGAAACGCCUUGGGUGUUAAUGGUCAGUUGGCUGUUACUGGUGGGACUGGGGAGUUUGCUCUUGCAAGUGGUAUCAUCAAGGUGGAUUUUGACAAACUUACUGGUGUUGACCACCUUACGGUGGAAGUGUAUACACCAGUGUUCUUAGGACCGUGUUAUGCAGCAGCGGAGAAUUAGUCCCUUGGGCCUGAUCAGAUUUACCAGUUGCUCUGAUCAAAAUAAAGUUUUUGACUUAAUCUCAGUUUCAUCCAUAAUAUGAGGGAUACUGGUUGUUCCCAACUCAUGUUUCCAGUUAUAAUAUUUUUAGUUCAUCUCAAA